AACUUUUGUCACUUGCCACUGAAAUUUUAGCAAAGUUUGUAGCUCUUUUCUAGACAAAAAUUAAAAACUGGCCAUUAUAUUAUAUGGUCUUUAUCCAAUAACUUGAAUGAAAAUCAAAUUGUAUGACUUAAUAUAUAUACUAACUCCGUUAACACAAUGCUCGGUAGGAUUCUGAAAGAAAGAAACCAAAGAAACACUCACUACUAUUAACUCCUUUUAAAGUAAAAACUUUGUCAUACCAAAUCAAACAGUAUGUAGAGUUAACGGAGCAUAAAAUUUUGACAAUAUUGUCGUCACACCACUCAGUGUAAAGGCGAAUGCUAGUACCAAGAGCAACUCCAACCAUAACACACCAAAUUAGGUGUUAAUGCCAUGGAGGCUCUUGUGAGAUACACUCACAAAAAGGCUUGAUCUCUCUUAUCUGGCAUUGGGUUAAUGCCAUGGAGGCUCUUGUGUGUACUUUCAAAAUGUUUGGGCCUUUGUGUUGCAAACUGAAAUUUAUGGCCCUCUGUUUUGGCUUUAGGAUAU